GUGCUUUAGGGAUGAACGAGUCCCUAAAAUUUAACUCUAAUCCACCUUAUCACUUUGUCAGCAUUUUUGUUUUGUAUCUUGCUGAUCAUUAAAGAGUGGAAUAAAU
rfam:Jatropha curcas cultivar GZQX0401 scaffold255_111, whole genome shotgun sequence.